rnacentral:misc_RNA from 1 species
AAGUCGUAACAAGGUUUCCGUAGGUGAACCUGCGGAAGGAUCAUUAAAGUGGGAUUAAUAAACAACAUUGUGAACCACAACAACUUUUGUAGUAUACACUUUAUUAUUUUGAAUAAUUUUAAAAAACAUGCAAAACUUUUAGUAACGGAUCUCUAGGCUCUC